rnacentral:rRNA from 1 species
CCAGACUCCUACGGGAGGCAGCAGUGGGGGAUAUUGGACAAUGGGGGGAACCCUGAUCCAGCGACGCCGCGUGAGUGAAGAAGUAUUUCGGUAUGUAAAGCUCUGUCAGCAGGGAAGAAAGAAAUGACGGUACCUGACCAAGAAGCCCCGGCUAACUACGUGCCAGCAGCCGCGGUAAUACGUAGGGGGCAAGCGUUAUCCGGAAUUACUGGGUGUAAAGGGAGCGUAGACGGCAUGGCAAGUCUGAAGUGAAAGCCCGGGGCUCAACCGCGGGACUGCUUUGGAAACUGUUAAGCUGGAGUGCAGGAGAGGUAAGUGGAAUUCCUAGUGUAGCGGUGAAAUGCGUAGAUAUUAGGAGGAACACCAGUGGCGAAGGCGGCUUACUGGACUGUAACUGACGUUGAGGCUCGAAAGCGUGGGGAGCAAACAGGAUUAGAUACCCCAGUA